rnacentral:lncRNA from 1 species
AGCCUGCCAACAUAUGCAUGCGCAAUGCGGCCCGCCUCCUCUGCGUGGUUACUUAGCGACCGCCGCCGCCGCCGCUUCAAAUUUAAACCCUCGCGGGCUGGAGUCUCCCGGCUGUCACUCAGCAAUUCCAAGCCUGAAACGCGGAAGAGAUCCUGCAACUUCUACUGGCUCGAGAACUCUGACUUUAAAUGACACCUCUUCUUUGCCACCUCAUCCCGCAGUUGAGCAUCUACCGGUCUGGUACCAGCGAUUACCCAAGGAAUUUCGCUGUUGCCGGAGAAGAGGGGACAUGAAGGAGCACAGGUAGGCGAGGUGGCUGACUUCUCGCCUUCUGUGGUAAAGCUGCAUGCGUCUAGGGGGGACCUACGUGCAGAUGCCACCCGCGACAGGUGAAGAGCCAGAUUACUCCUAUCUCUACUGCAGGAAAUCGACGUCCCUCUUUUCUGAGAGUAAAGAAGUAAAAUGUGCCGAUUUGAAGGAAUCGGAGAAGAAAAGAAGCAAGGGGAAUAAAGAAAAGGAAUGUAUAAAAUUUGAAGAAAUACUUUCAAAGUUUUUUCUUUCCUUCAUCUCAUUCUCUCUCCUCCUCAGAAAAGGAGACCGAGAAUAGUUGAGUGGCGUCUUCUUGGAAUUUCUGAUUAUGUAUUUGGACAAAUUUUC